rnacentral:rRNA from 1 species
AUUGAACGCUGGCGGCAGGCCUAACACAUGCAAGUCGAGCGGAUGAAGGGAGCUUGUGCCUGGAUUCCGCGGCGGACGGGUGAGUGAUGCCUAGGAGUCUGCCUGGCAGUGGGGGAUAACGUACGGAAACGAGCGCUAAUACCACAUACGUCCUGAGGGAGAAAGUGGGGGAUCUUCGGACCUCACGCUAUCAGAUGAGCCUAGGUCGGAUUAGCUCGUUGGUUGGGUAAAGGCCUACCAAGGCGACGAUCCGUAACUGGUCUGAGAGGAUGAUCAGUCACACUGGAACUGAGACACGGUCCAGACUCCUACGGGAGGCAGCAGUGGGGAAUAUUGGACAAUGGGCGAAAGCCUGAUCCAGCCAUGCCGCGUGUGUGAAGAAGGUCUUCGGAUUGUAAAGCACUUUAAGUUGGGAGGAAGGGCAGUAAGUUAAUACCUUGCUGUUUUGACGUUACCAACAGAAUAAGCACCGGCUAACUUCGUG